rnacentral:misc_RNA from 1 species
GAUGAAGAACGCAGCGAAAUGCGAUAAGUAAUGUGAAUUGCAGAAUUCAGUGAAUCAUCGAAUCUUUGAACGCACAUUGCGCCCCCUGGUAUUCUGGGGGGCAUGCCUGUUCGAGCGUCAUUUCACCACUCAAGCCUCGCUUGGUAUUGGGCAACGCGGUCCGCCGCGUGCCUCAAAUCGACCGGCUGGGUCUUCUGUCCCCUAAGCGUUGUGGAAACUAUUCGCUAAAGGGUGUUCGGGAGGCUACGCCGUAAAACAACCCCAUUUCUAAGGUUGACCUCGGAUCAGGUAGGGAUACCCGCUGAACUUAAGCAUAUCAAUAAGCGGAGGA